CGGACGGGUGAGUAACGCGUGAGAAUCUGCCCUCAGGAGGGGGAUAACGGCUGGAAACGGCCGCUAAUACCCCAUAUGCCGCGAGGUGAAAUGAGAAAUCGCCUGAGGAUGAGCUCGCGUCUGAUUAGCUAGUUGGUGGGGUAAGAGCCUACCAAGGCAUCGAUCAGUAGCUGGUCUGAGAGGAUGAUCAGCCACACUGGGACUGAGACACGGCCCAGACUCCUACGGGAGGCAGCAGUGGGGAAUUUUCCGCAAUGGGCGCAAGCCUGACGGAGCAACGCCGCGUGAGGGAUGAAGGCCUCUGGGCUGUAAACCUCUUUUCUCAAGGAAGAAGAACUGACGGUACUUGAGGAAUAAGCCACGGCUAAUUCCGUGCCAGCAGCCGCGGUAAUACGGGAGUGGCAAGCGUUAUCCGGAAUUAUUGGGCGUAAAGCGUCCGCAGGCGGUCUUGAAAGUCUGUUGUUAAAGCGUGGAGCUCAACUCCAUUUCAGCAAUGGAAACUAGAAGACUAGAGUGUGGUAGGGGCAGAGGGAAUUCCCGGUGUAGCGGUGAAAUGCGUAGAUAUCGGGAAGAACACCAGUGGCGAAGGCGCUCUGCUGGNCCAUAACUGACGCUCAUGGACGAAAGCCAGGGGAGCGAAAGGGAUUAGAUACCCCUGUAGUCCUGGCCGUAAACGAUGAACACUAGGUGUCGGGGGAAUCGACCCCCUCGGUGUCGUAGCCAACGCGUUAAGUGUUCCGCCUGGGGAGUACGCACGCAAGUGUGAAACUCAAAGGAAUUGACGGGGGCCCGCACAAGCGGUGGAGUAUGUGGUUUAAUUCGAUGCAACGCGAAGAACCUUACCAGGGUUUGACAUCCUGCGAAUCUUUUGGAAACAUAAGAGUGCCUUCGGGAGCGCAGAGACAGGUGGUGCAUGGCUGUCGUCAGCUCGUGUCGUGAGAUGUUGGGUUAAGUCCCGCAACGAGCGCAACCCACGUCUUUAGUUGCCAGCAUUAAGUUGGGCACUCUAGAGAGACCGCCGGUGAUAAACCGGAGGAAGGUGUGGAUGACGUCAAGUCAUCAUGCCCCUUACAUCCUGGGCUACACACGUACUACAAUGCUACGGACAGAGGGCAGCAAACUCGCGAGAGCUAGCAAAUCCCAUAAACCGUGGCUCAGUUCAGAUCGUAGGCUGCAACUCGCCUACGUGAAGGAGGAAUCGCUAGUAAUCGCAGGUCAGCAUACUGCGGUGAAUACGUUCCCGGGCCUUGUACACACCGCCCGUCACACCAUGGAAGU
rnacentral:rRNA from 1 species